AUUGAACGCUGGCGGCAUGCUUUACACAUGCAAGUCGGACGGCAGCACAGAGAAGCUUGCUUCUUGGGUGGCGAGUGGCGAACGGGUGAGUAACAUAUCGGAACGUACCGAGCAGUGGGGGAUAACUAAUCGAAAGAUUAGCUAAUACAGCAUAUUUUCUGAGGAAGAAAGCAGGGGACCUUUGGGCCUUGCGCUGUUUGAGCGGCCGAUAUCUGAUUAGCUAGUUGGUGGGGUAAAGGCCUACCAAGGCGACGAUCAGUAGCGGGUCUGAGAGGAUGAUCCGCCACACUGGGACUGAGACACGGCCCAGACUCCUACGGGAGGCAGCAGUGGGGAAUUUUGGACAAUGGGCGCAAGCCUGAUCCAGCCAUGCCGCGUGUCUGAAGAAGGCCUUCGGGUUGUAAAGGACUUUUGUCAGGGAAGAAAAGGGCGGGGUUAAUACCCCUGUCUGAUGACGGUACCUGAAGAAUAAGCACCGGCUAACUACGUG
rnacentral:rRNA from 1 species